UAAUACGGAGGUGGCGAGCGUUGUUCGGAAUUAUUGGGCGUAAAGGGCGUGUAGGCGGCUAUGUAAGUCAGGCGUGAAAUCCUAUGGCUCAACCAUAGAAUUGCGUUUGAUACUGUGUAGCUUGAGUACAGGAGAGGAGAGUGGAAUUCCCAGUGUAGCGGUGAAAUGCGUAGAUAUUGGGAGGAACACCGGUGGCGAAGGCGGCUCUCUGGACUGAUACUGACGCUGAGGCGCGAAAGCCAGGGGAGCGAACGGGAUUAGAUAUCCCGGUAGUCCUGGCCGUAAACGAUGGGCACUAGGUGUAGGAAGUUUAUCUUUCUGUGCCGGAGCUAACGCAGUAAGUGCCCCGCCUGGGGAGUACGGUCGCAAGGCUG
rnacentral:rRNA from 1 species